rfam:Brassica rapa chromosome A8, whole genome shotgun sequence.
GAGCUGUGAAGAAAUUGGUUUAAGCGUUGGUUGGGUCCUUCGCAUUCAUCUGAUCUUCAGAUGAUAUAGCCGUAAACCUGAGCUC